UCCGUUUUUGGAGAGAAUCUCUGGGAAUGUGCAACCUAAAGCGCCGAGCAUUGCCCAUCUGCUGUGGAUUACCUCCAGCUCACGGUUCUUCGCGAAGGUUUCUGGGUCGGCUGAGAGACCGGCGGUGUCCCAACCGUAGUCUCCGGGGUAUUCACCGGUAAGGUACGAUGGUGUGUUCUCUGAGAAUGGUCCUAAGUACUUGGGACGGUCUGGUCCGUACCUGUCACAAUAUGUUUGUAGUGUUGAAAUAUUAUAUGUUUUUGGUGUGAUUAAUAAAAUCAAAACUGAGGAAGCAAAAAAUAUUGGAGUAAGAACCAGAUGCUCUGAGGAGUAGACUUGACGGUACGACGCAUGACGACGCGGCCACCGCCGUUGGAAGCUCCUACUUUGCGGAGGAGAUCGUUGGAAGGCUUCAAAGCCGUUUGUCCGGCGAAAGAGGAGUGCUGGAUUACUGAUGUGGCCAUUCUUGUUUAUCUCAACUCCAAACAGAAACAAAGAGAGAAAUAAACAAAGAUGAGAUGAGAUGAGAUGGUGUUUGUAUUUUUGAUUUUAUAACAGGGAUCCCAAGGUAGGGAGAUUAGCAUAUGGACAUGCAAGCGAGUUCUAAUUGGUCUAUAAGAUUUUCACAAACUCGAAUCACGUGGUGCAGUAGAUAGAUAGAGGCUACGGUUGUGCCACGUGGCUGUUGGAGAUUUUGUGCCAAGAGGAUAGUGUUCCAACAGUCAUGAGGCUUCUCUUGUUGCCCAUUGGCUAUGCUUACGAUUGCGAUGAUAAGAAAUUAAGAACAACCUUUGCAGCAUAUAUAUUUCCUUUUAUCCCACUUUAUUUCACUCACAAAAUAUUUUAUUUGGACAUAACAAAACGAACUUACACAUAAUUCACAAAUAUUCAAAAAAAAAACGAAGAAACUGGGACACAAAAGUAAAAUUACAUAAUUGCCUUUUCCAACAUAAACCCACAACUUUAUAGAAGGUUCCUCCUUGCCUUACGCUAAAGUCCUCUUUGCCUGAACCGGCUCUCUGGUCUCAGUGGUCAGACUAGUAUCGUGGGCUUCAUGGGCCUUAUCCUGCACAUACUGUCCCAUCUCUUUUCCCUUCUGACCAGCGUAGCCUACUGCAUCAGCCAUACGCCGCUUAGCAUAGUCCAGUUGCUCCGGCACCGUAUCACUCGUCCCACGGAUGUAGUUUAGGACCCAUGAGACCGAGCUCAGACCCGUCAGACCAAAUAACCCAGACGCCAAAAUUCCGGUCACAGCGAGCCCUAUGGUGAGAGCGGCUGGGACAAUCACGGGACUGAAGAGGAGGAAGAGCUGAAUGGAGAGAAUCAAACUUAUCACAGAACCGGCUANNNNNNNNNNNNNNNNNNNNNNNNNNNNNNNNNNNNNNNNNNNNNNNNNNNNNNNNNNNNNNNNNNNNNNNNNNNNNNNNNNNNNNNNNNNNNNNNNNNNNNNNNNNNNNNNNNNNNNNNNNNNNNNNNNNNNNNNNNNNNNNNNNNNNNNNNNNNNNNNNNNNNNNNNNNNNNNNNNNNNNNNNNNNNNNNNNNNNNNNNNNNNNNNNNNNNNNNNNNNNNNNNNNNNNNNNNNNNNNNNNNNNNNNNNNNNNNNNNNNNNNNNNNNNNNNNNNNNNNNNNNNNNNNNNNNNNNNNNNNNNNNNNNNNNNNNNNNNNNNNNNNNNNNNNNNNNNNNNNNNNNNNNNNNNNNNNNNNNNNNNNNNNNNNNNNNNNNNNNNNNNNNNNNNNNNNNNNNNNNNNNNNNNNNNNNNNNNNNNNNNNNNNNNNNNNNNNNNNNNNNNNNNNNNNNNNGAAAAACAACAAUUAUAGUUUUUCCAUAUUGUAAACUGUCUUCGUUUAACAUGAGUUAGGGUUCUUUUCAUCAUUGUCUCAGACAAGUUUGAGUUACAGAGUUGCACCAUGUGUCCGUUCGUAAUCUAUUUUUUCACCGGUGAACUCUUCAUCUCCCCAUCUUAAAUCGCUUGAUCUUAAAUGUUCCUGAUUUGUAGUCUUUCUGUAAACCCUAUAUAUAUGAUUCUCAUCUUUGAUGAACUCAAUCUGCAUCUCCAAAAAACUCAUUGAUUCCUCUCAGCUUUAACGAUCUUCUAGAAAAUAUCUUUAUGCCUCUCCAGUUCCUCAAACCGGCGUUCCCGACAUCCGUCACUCAACCAUCGAGUCUCUCCGUGUUGGUAGUAGUAGUCAGAGCAUAGCCUCUAACCUCCUCGCUUAUGGGAUUUCCUGAACUUCAAGAAAGACAGUGAGUUUAUGGGAAUCACGGUUCUCUUCCUUGAUGAAAAGGUAAGUUAAUCUUCGAUUUAUCACACUUAUUUAAUAUAAUUGUUUUUAAUUGAUUUCCUGAUUCUUUGUUGAAUAAUAUUAUUUGCAGAUUCCGUGAUUCAUGGGUUUAUUCCCGCCGGACGUGCUAGUCAUUACAUGUCAUCUUUGAAAGCCGGUUCCAUUGCGAAAAUCGAUCGUUUUGAGGUUGUUAGGUGGUCAAGCAUGCACAAGAUAACUGAUCAUUCAUUCCUCAUUCAUUUCAUCUCACCAACUAUUAAUGAUGAAGUCAUCACGGGUGCUCCUGAGAUCAAUUUCCAGUCAUAACUAGACUGUUCGACAAUUUUCAAGUGAUUGCAAACACAAACCUAGAACUCCCAGGUAUAUUAUCAUAUUGCAUCUGGGUUUAUAUUAUAUUUCGAUAUCAUAACUGAUAUUUAAACUCGCAGAUGUGGUUGGGCAAAUCCGUUCUGUCCAGGGCUCUGACCUUACCAAAGAAACAACUCGAGUCCUUAUCCGUCUCCUCAUUGAUCCGUAAGAAACAAUCACGCACAAUUCUCUUUAUAUUAUUAUUUAUAUUGUGCUAAUAUUAAUAAUCAAAAAUAUUUUCUAUUCUGUAUUCGUCUAUUUAUCUCCCUUACUUAUCAAACUAAUUUUACACAAACCUUUAUUUUACACCUUAAAAGAAACCACAACAACUCAAACAAUCAAAACACCAAAAACUAAAAUUCCAAAAAAGACGAAUCAUUAAUGAUUACCUCUUUUUUUUGUUUAAUCUUAGAAGUAAACUUCAAAACAAAUAUACCAAUCCAAUCACUUCAACUAAAACUCAACGACAUAUACAUCGAGUCAGCUAAACAAAUACAAACUACACGGCCAACUAUUUAACAAUUUACAAACUUACUUUCGCAACGAAGAAGACGAAGACGAAAACCAAAAUCAGUAAAAUUACCUAAACAAAAAAACAAAAUAAAUUACGAACUCUGAUAAAUACUGCUAAUGAUUUUUGUUUACAUAUUACCCGUCAAAUAAAAGAUAAACAAACACAUCUACACGAGGAGAUAUAAGAGACUAUCCUGACAGACACAAAGGCAGCAACAACAUCUCCACCUGCUCCCUACUCUUGUCUUAUAAAAAUAACUCACAUGUCCAAUAUCAACAUGCCAAUGCUAUUGUCUUCUUAUGAGAAAUACAUAAAUUCGUUUAAAACUCAUUAAGGCCCAAAUACUCAGAACUGUUACUCAUUUUAUAGUUAUUUCUACAAGCCUUCAUGUAUUUGUUUUAAAGGUCCGAUAAGAGCAACAAGUUUAAAAAUAAAAUAAAAACAUAUAACAAACAUAAUAAGGAUAUAAAGAUAAUAAAAAUUAUUACUUACUCAUAACUUACACAACUAAACUGGAGAAAAAAUAUCUAGAAACAAAAUGUAUUCUCAACAACUUUAAUAUAAUUUAUGUAUUCUCAACACUAUAAGAAACAAAUUAAAAAGACAAACAAACAAUAAGUCUCAGUGACAUAGCAAACAACACCACGAACUAUAUCAAUUACAUUAUUAACACAAUUUAGUCAUUCAUAAGUAGAGAACAAUGCAUAAACAGUUCAUCAUCACAACUCUAACCCUAUAACAAUUAAAAAACUUGAUAAACAACUCAAAACGUAAAAUUCACAACUACAAUAACCCUUACAAGUAUUGAGAUGAAAUAAGAAUUUUGUCCAUAAUUUCGCGCUUGCGCGGGGGCAAUGCCCCUAAUUAAAACAAAAAGAAGGAUGACAAGUUUCAUGACAUUUGUCGACCAAGCUGAAACUUCAAGAGUUGGUUUCCUCCUGCUCUUCUUUCCCUCCCCCUAGUAUGUUUGAACAAAGUAUAAGCGGAGAUAAACAAAAAUAUUUUUUCCAUUUCCAUGAUGAUUGAACCCACGAAUAACUCUUAAUGGGAGAUUUGAGUUUCAUACUGCACACCAAAGCUUUAUUACCUUUCACCAAACUCUGAUCUAAUGUGUCAUAUUUACUUAUUAAUCAUUUAAUAUAUACUUAUUUUUUUCUUAUACUUAUGUAUUUAAUUAAUGAUGUUUAAUAAUUAAAAAACAAAAAUAAUAUAAGAACACUUAGAGAAACAAAAAUAAUAUAAUGCAGUUAAUAACUAUUGAUAUUUACAUUAAUCUUAGUGUAUUAACAUAAUUAUAUGUUUAUCAUUUUUAUUUUCCUUAUAAGCAAAUAAACAUUUUAACAGAAAAUAAUAAAUAAUCAUGCUUGAAUGAGAGCUAUCACUCAUAUAACAAAUACAUCAGAACCUCUAUAAAUUAAUAAUGUUGAGACUUUAAAAUUUUAUUAAUUUAUAAAGAUAUUAAUUUACAAAAGUUUCCUCAUUUAGAUUUCUUAUUUUAAGAUAUAUUUAUUCUUAGAUAAAAAAAUAUAUUUGAUUUUAGUGUAUAGACACUAAUUGUUAUUUUUUUAAAUUUGACAUUUAUAUUAAUUUUAUUAUAUUAUUUGAUGCAUAUAAUAUAUAUUGCGUAGAACUUAAAUGUGGUUUUAGAUAUAAUUUUACUAAAUUUCAUCAAAAAUAUAUUAACUGUUAAGAAAAUAUAAAGAUAAUUCGAUUGUGAAUAUAAAACAAACAAUAUAAUAAUAAAUUUUAACUUAUAUAAAAUAUGUAUACAUAUAAAUAAUUAAUUUAUAAUUUUAAUAGGACCGUAUAUUCACAUAAAUUUUUUUAAAAAAUUAUUAUCUUAUUAUUUUAUCAAUUUGUGACUACUGUGUAUCUGAAAUCCGAAAAAAACCGAACUUUGCAAAUACGCAAACACAAAUUAAUAGAAAUAUUGGGUCAUUCUGUAAAUUAAGAAAAUUCUUGGGGGUAGCAAAUCCAAAUUCCCGUUCUAGCCUCUCUCUCGCUCAGCAGCUCUUCUUCAAACCCUAACGCCGAGACCAGUCGAUAUCGGCGACGUGAUUCUCUCUGGUUUCUCCUCGUAAUCCUGAAAACUCGACGGCGAAGAAUCUCCGCCGAGGAUUUAGUCUUCAUUGGCGAUCCCUCCUCCGAAGAUGUCCGUCCAUUGCUUUUGAUUUAGGUCAUCGGACUUGAAUCCGAUUUGUUGCUCUGAAGAAGAGCAAAAGAGUCAUCUGCUAAGCUAUUUCGUGAGAAUCUGUAAGAUUCGUUUUCCCUUUCGAAGAUUGUUUUGUUUCGGAAGCUCUCUAGGUUCGUUUAAACCCUAAUUUCACGCUGCUCGUCGUUACUAGAAUUGACUUAGCUUAAUCCGUUAGGGUUUUCGAGUUGUUGCGAACAUUAGAUCGCUAGAGUUUCGUUCUGUAUAUUAUCUAAUGAACGCCGAUCUUUAUCAGAGCUUUUUAUGAGAGAGACGAGAAGCUCUGCAUUAUCCAUGGAGAUUUCAGUUUCCUCUCCGAAGCAGAGCGUGUUAUCUUCAUUGGAUUGUAUGAGCGACCCUGAGGAGGAGCACGAGAUCAGCGAGGAGGAGGAUGAUGACGAUCGUAACCACAAGCACCGUAAGAAAGAAGAGACGAGUUCUCAGUCCUUGGAACAAGGCUCUUCAGAUCAAGCUUUCUCGCGUCCCUCCAGGAGAAACAAUAGGCAUUUUGAGAAUGGCAGUGAACAUGAGAAACGGUCUCUAGGAGCAGGAGGAUCAGGACACCGUGUACAGUUUGAUAACCAAAGAUCAAGAUCAAACCCUGGUAGAGGUAGAGGUAGUUAUGGUUCUUGGAGUCAGCGUGAUUCCAGGUUUAAUCAUCAUGUUGAUCUCUCAUCUCAUAUGGUUCCGGGGAUGUUUGGAGGGAGGGGGAUAGCUGCUCAAACCGCACCUUGGCCGGGGUUUGGAAUGCUUCCUGGCGUUCCCAAUGGUGGCUUGGAUGGUUUCCAUCACUUGCAAGGGCCUCUAGGACCGCCGUUAAAUGGUCCAAUCAACAUGGGUAUUCCUCGGCAGCGAUGCAGAGACUUUGAGGAACGUGGGUUCUGCCUCAGAGGGGAUAUGUGUCCCAUGGAGCAUGGAAUCAAUCGUAUCGUUGUUGAUGAUGUUCAGGUAUGUUAAUUUUUUCUUGGGAUCGGAUUUAUCUCGUAAAUAGAAAUCUAGAGGUUUUGCUGGAUAUUUGAGAUCUAUUUGCAUGUCCUAUGCUGAAGUUCAACACAUUUAUGUUUCUUGAAUAUGUUGCUAGUAGUAUGAGUAUGACCACUUUAUGCCCAUUAGCAGUACUUCUAGUUCUAGGUGACAUGAAAUGAAACUCUUUACUUUUUGUUAGUGUUAGCUUUAACUGGCAUGGGUCUCAGAAACAGCUAAUUUCCAUUCGAAUUUCUUAACAGCUUCUUUGUAUAGCAUGACUAAUAUCUUACUACUGCGAUUUUAUUACACCAUUAUUCUCUUGUGUAUAUUUAACUGAGUAAUUUUCCUUCAUUUUGCAUUUGUGCAGAGUCUAUCACAGUUCAACCUUCCCGUUUCUGCCCCUGGUGGACCUCAUAUGGCAGCUUCUUCCAAACCAGUGCCUGCACAGUUUGGGGGUGGUAAUUUCAUGAAUACGAAAGGAGCUCAUGGGAAGACUAACGAGGGUGGAAUGGCUGUUGAUGGUAUGGGUUAUGGUGAUGCAUAUCCUAGUGCAGGUGGAACUGAUUCUUACGAUCCUGAUCAACCUUUGUGGAAUAACAGUGCUGGUGAAACUUCAGGGGCAUUAUCUGCACCAAAUUCUCAUGGGAUAGAUGAGAAUGUCGCUCCAGUGGAUGACAAUAACCAAGAUGGCGCUGUAAAUACAUGUGGUAUUCGAGAAUCAAGAAACAAUCAGUCGGGUUGGGGCAGAGUGCGUAAUAGUCAAGCAAAUUUCAAAGAGAAAGGUGAUACUGUAUUAAAUUCAUCAGCUGGUCUUGAAGGUCAAUCGAAGGAGAUCUCAGUUAGUUUAUACCGCCAAAACAAUGUUGGGGGAAGUGUCGCAAAAGUUGUUGAUUCAUCAAACACUUUAAAUGAUGCAGUGAAUAAUACAAGAACACCAACGCAAAAGGCGAUGCGGACUCUGUUCGUGAAUGGUGUUCCUCACGAGAGCAACAGAAGGGACCUCAUUCUUGCCCAUUUUCAGAAAUUUGGGAAAGUUAUUGACAUUCACAUCCCAGCAAAUAGUAACCGAGCAUUUGUUCAAUUCUCAAAACGUGAAGAGGCCGAGUCUGCUCUCAGGGCGCCUGAUGCUGUAAUGGGUAACCGCUUUAUCAAACUUUGGUGGGCAAAUAGAGAUAGUAUACCUGAUAAUGGCCUGUCCACUGGGAAUGGUGCUUUUAUGAAGGGUCGUGGUGUGGGUGCUUCUGGAGGACAGAACCAGAUUCCUAUUGCUGCAGCAUCGAAAAGCAACCAUGUAUCUCUUACUGCGAAAGGGCCUGCCUUCCACCCUGGUGGAGCUCCAUCAUCCUCUCAACAGCCUAAGCCUGUGGGGGUCACUAGUGGUCCCAAGGUUAUGCCGCUUCAGCAGAAAAAAGCAGACACUCUUGAGCAGUUGAAAGAGACACUUCGGAAAAAGCAGGAAAUGCUGGAUCAAAAGCGUAACGAGUUAUGCAAAAAGUUGGCGACUCUUCAAAAACAAGUAAGUACAAGUAACUGGAUCCCGUUUCAUUUUUGUCAAUCGUUAAUACCUUUUUGAAGGAAAUAACAAUUUAGCAGUCUCCAGGAAGUUAAGCAGAAUUAGAGUGAGUUCUGAGUUCUGAGGAUUUGAAUCUCAGAGGUGUCUUUGGGAAACAUUGAAGAAGUGUAAAAUGCUAGACAAGUACAGAUCUGAGUUCUCAGUAUGUUAAAAUUGAGUUUGUUUAACACGAAAUUCUGAGUAGACGUGUGUUGUGAUAUAUAUUCAAUUUUUUCUUUGGGGUGUUUAACCGAAUAAAUAAAUGAAUUAUACACUAGAAACAUAAUUGCUGCCUGUCUUAUUCAACAGUGGUAAAUGGUUGAGUUGAAAUUAUUUACUAGCAUUCAUAUCAUAUAGCUCUAAAUCUUCUCAGGAAACGGGUGUUAAAGACGAGGAAGCAGAUGAGCCAGAUGCUAAGCGCGUUAAGGUGGACACAGCCUCGAACUCCGGUACUGCAAUCCCAUCACCAAAAACAGAGUCAUUGACUGAGAAGAAAGGGCCUAUCAAGAAACCACUUUCUAUUGCUAGACCAAGCACAGAAACGCCAUCGCCCGAUUUGAAAAACUUAAAGCAAAGACCGUAUUCGUAUACCACAAGUUUGAACACUCCUAUGGUAAAUAGGUAUAAGUUGGACAACCGCACGACUACCAUCAAAGUUGUCCCUCCUUUGCCAACCGGGCUAGCCGAUGUAUGUCCCCUUUAUGAAUUUGCAAAACUUUCUCAUUUUCCAUAUUGGAUGUUGUUAGCUUCUACUUUGAUUAUUAAGUCUCUUACUGAUGGUUUGAACUAUUUUUUUGCUUCUAGGUUGCUGUCUUAAAAGAACAUUUCUCUUCUUAUGGCGAGGUCUCAAAAGUGGAACUCGAAGACAAUGCAUCGGCUGAUAGUGGCAAGGAUCAGGAUGAAACACAUAACAAAAGCCUUGCAGCCUGUGUGACAUUUGUGAAACGCAGCGCAGCAGAGAAAGCGUUUGCUAAUGCAAAGUCUUGGCAAGAACACACGUUGCAGCUCGUGUGGGUAACACGUCAAAUCAAGAAAGAGAAUAAAAGUAGCAAUGACAAGAAUAAUCCCUCUGUUUCUAGUGACCACCUUAGCAGCAAAAACAAGUCCGCUGCUUCUGUUUCUAAUGACCCGAAACCAGAAGAUGAAGUCAAAUCCUCUUCUACAGAAGAACCAAAGAGCACAAAUGUCUCUGGAGACGACAAUACAUUGAAUGAACAAGACAAUGGCAGCAAUAAAAGUAAUAGCGAGUCCAACGAGGGAGCUGAAAAAGUUGCAGCGCCAGAAAGUGAUGAAGAACAGAUGAAUGGUUAAGCUGGGCAAGAAGACUGUCAGUGAGGUAAUCUUUUGUCUCAGAAACAUAAUCUUUAUUUGUUGGUGAAUCUGGUAUAGUGAUCUUUUAGGCUUUUUAGCCAAUCAGUGAGACGUUAAUAUUUGUUGGUAGCAAAAGAUAUAUUUAUAGUUUUUUCCUCCUUUAUAUGGAUAGUAGAAGUGUAUUGUUACAUUUGGCCUUCCAAGAACAGUGGUUGGGUCUUUGUAUCAGCAGGUCUUUGUUUUCCUCUUUUAUUAGCUUCUAUAACAAUCUUGACUUGUGUUGUACAUACAUAGUUGGACUUCGUGACUUGCUUUAGUCGAGUCGAAGAGCGGUGUGGAAUCUAUAAAACGGCACGCAUUUUUGAAGUUUAUGCAAUGUUUUCUUUGGUAAUAUCACAGGUUUGAAUCCUAGAAACUAUAUGCUUUCAUUCUUUGGUAAUAUCACAGGUUUGAAUCCUAGAAACUAUAUGCUUUCAUUAAACAACAGAUGUAGAGAAAUGAGAUUGAAAUUCGAUGAUGUAUGUCUGAGCAGUUCGCAAAUUUUCUAGAUCAAUUCAAGACAAGGGCCUCAAGCUAACGAUGAUUUCUUUCAUUAAGACAGAACAUCAAACCAACAGACAUACAUUAAUUGUUUUAAAAACAUACAUUAUCAGAUAAUAUUCUAUUUUCCGGGGACGAAGUUGGUGGCGUAAGCCCAUGCAUUAUUAGCGACAGGGUCCGCAACAUGAUCAAACAGAUUCUCGAUCGGUCCUUUACCAGUGACGAUGGCUUGGACAAAGAAUCCAAACAUGGAGAACAUAGCAAGCCGACCGUUUUUAAGCUCCUUCACUUUCAAUUCCGAAAACGCCUCCGGAUCCUCCGCUAAGUUCAACGGGUCAAACGCCCCACCCGGGUAAAGCGGGUCAAGCCCUUCACCAAGAGGUCCACCUCCGAUUCUGUACCCUUCGAUUAAACCCAUCAGCACAACUUGAGAAGCCCAGAUUGCUAAUAUGCUUUGCGCGUGGAUCAAGUUAGGGUUGCCGAGGUAAUCAAGCCCUCCUUCUGAGAAGAUCUGAGACCCUGCCUUGAACCACACGGCUUCACCGAAUUUGACUCCGUUUUUGGAGAGAAUCUCUGGGAAGGUGCAUCCUAAAGCGCCGAGCAUUGCCCAUCUGCUGUGGAUUACUUCCAGCUCACGGUUCUUUGCGAAGGUUUCUGGAUCGGCGGAGAGACCGGCGGUGUCCCAGCCGUAGUCUCCGGGGUAUUCUCCGGUUAGGUACGAUGGUGUGUUCUCUGAGAAUGGUCCUAAGUACUUGGGACGGUCUGGUCC
rnacentral:lncRNA from 1 species